GGACGAUUAGCUCAGUUGGGAGAGCACCGCCCUUACAAGGCGGGGGUCACUGGUUAAAGCCCAGUAUCGUCCACCA
rnacentral:tRNA from 3 species